UCCUUAAGUGAUCUGUGUCUGACCUGCCCUAGCAGUAAAGCCGAAGUAACGCCUCUUCCUUGUCAAGAUCUGUGAAACACAUCGCCACCUCGCCUGCCUGAUGGCUUUAUUUAAAGAUAAAUCUUCAUGAAUUCACACAACAUCUAUUUCUACUGUGAAAAUUUCCAAUAACAGAUUUCCCCUUGUCUUAGGCUGUUUGACAGGCAUUUUAGAGUCGAGCCAUCGUUCCUGAGAAGAAUCUUGUUUGGAGAGUUGGGGCCACACGUCACCCGACAAACAGCCUUGAACACGGGGAACCCAUUUAGAACUAUCAGAUCCACCAGCCCACUCCGGAAGGUGUGUGAUGUUUCCCAACCCCUUACUCCCCAGAGACUGGUCCACAGACCAGCAGCAGCAGUAGUAUCUGGGAGCCUGGUUCAAAAU